UUGGCUGGGAAAGGACAGUACUGGAUCAAAAGAUAGCCUUCCGCCUAUUGGCCCGGAGUUGCUAGGGCUGAGAGCAAAAGUGUAGCCAUUGGCUGGAGGCCAUAGCAGGAAUCUCUACAUUCUCUUUUCCUAGAAGUGCGUGGGGGCUCACGCUUAGAAAUGGUGCAGUGGCGUACGCGCAGUGGCUAGUCUUCUCUCGAAUAAGUAAAACCAUCCUAUCUGGGAACCUUGCUGAUGUGGGAGGCAGUAGAGAAUUGGGCAUAAUAAUGGAACAUUCCUGAAGUUUGGCAGGAAUGCUUUUAAAUAACACUGGAAGAUGUCAUUUAGUGCCCUUUGACCCAGGCACUCACCUCUAAUUCCGUGGCUAAGCAGAAAAUGUGUAAACGAAAGGAGCAGCAAGAGCCAACCCUAGAUGUCCUGCAGCAGUGGAAACCAAGUUACUGAUUCAGACCACCAGAUGGCAGACCACAGGAAAAGGAAAAAGGAGAGGAAGAAAUGUCACCUACCAAGACCCAGCUCCAGGAUGACCCAGAGAUCUUAGAAAACUUGGUUUCCUAUUAGUAUUGAGGAGGUCAGGGGUCAGGGAAGAUUACUCAGAGGCAUUGUUUUAAACUAUAGUAAUGUACUUAAUUAUCUGAUAGUAACAUGGUUUAUUAUUGUGAUACAUUUUAUUAUCAGAUAAAACAUCUUUUGUUUUCUUUUUUUCUCUGUAAAUGUUAUUCUCAUUCUUAAGGCCUCCAAGAAUAAUGUCAUAAUUGGAAUUGCAUCAAACCUAUAAGUUAAUUUGGAAAAAAAAUCAAGAUCUUUAUGAUACUUAUUUUUCUCAUGAAAGAAUGUGUUUUUGUCACUAUUGAGGUCUCCAUUUAUAUAUCUUAGUAAGGAUUGCAGUUUUCCUUAUAAAGAUCAUGCAUAUCACUCAUUCAGAAUUUUACUUGGGGAGAUAUUUUAUAUAUAUUCUAACUGGAUUUUGGUGAUUUUACAGAAAUAUACUGAUUUUUGCAGAUUAAAUGUUUAAUUUCUGUAUUCUUUUAUUAAAAAUAGCUAUGAGUUAGUUAUUCCUAAUUUUCUUGCUAUACAAUUAUGUAACCUGAAAAAUAUCAUAAAAUUCUUGUAUUUUCCUUUCCACCAUUUAUUUCUGUUAUUUCUAUUUCAUGCUUCAUUAUAUUGGCUGAAAAUGACAUAAAAAUAUAAAAAAUUUAAUAGUAAUGAUAAUAUAGCUUUACUAUGUGUAAUUGAGUUUUUAUUCAGAAUAGAUACUUGUGUUUAUUUUAAUUUUAUACAAUAAUGUAUUUUUAUUAAGAGUAUAAAUGAGUGUUGGAGUGCCUGAUUUCGGCUCAAGUUAUGAUCUCACGUUUGUGAGAUUGAGCCCCGCAUUGGGCUCCACACUGGGUGUGAAGCCUACUUAAGAUCCUCUCUCUCCCUCUUCCUCUGCCCUUUCUCCCACUCAUGCUUUUUCUCUCUCAAAAAUAGAAUUAAUAAUAAUAAUAAUAAUAAUAAUAAAAGACUAUAAAUGGGUGUUGAUUUCAUCCAGUGGCUUUUCAGCAUCUACUGAGAGGAUCAUAUGAUUUCUUUUAUUGAAUCAAUUUAUGUAGUUAUUUUAUUAAUGUUUCCUUAUAUUGUCAGUUUUUACGUCUAAUAUUCAUAAGUAGGUUUUGUCUGUAAAUGUUUGGUGUGUCAUACCUUUAUUGGAUUAUAGUGUUAGACCUAUAUUUAGCUCAUAAAAGAAUGGGAUAACAUCCAAUCAUUUUCUGUGUUUUAUGUUACAGAAUAAAUAUAUGAUUUUUAUCUGUUUUAUUAUUACUAUUUUCCUAAGGCAGUUAUGGAAACAAAGCUAUUUUUAAAUUUUAAAAAUGAAAAUAAAGAAAUGCUUAUAUUACAGUAGAGACACUUUUACAACUGAGAACCUGAAAGAGCUAUAACAAAGGUUAUUUUCCCCACCCCAGCAUGUUAAGGAAAUGCCUGCCAAACCCAUUAUAAAAGAUUAUCUCUGUCUGAGUGUGCUAUGGGUUAUACUAUUACAUAAAGCAGACAAAAUCCUUUAUUUUUCUCAGCUGUUCUGCUCAGUCAUGGAAAGAAUAAAAUUAUACCUAGUGAUUCAGCAUCUGAAAUGUUAUACCAAGUCAAAAGUUGCUGCCUAUAUAGUUUUCACAAGAAGCUAUUGCAUUUCUUAGGUUCUGGUAGGUAAUAAUAAUAAUAUUCCAAGGAAGUCUUUCUUGGUUGAGGGUGGAAAGCAAUAAAGAAUUUGACUCAAAUUUUAUCUGGUUGUAUAACCUGUCUCUGUAAGUAAGUCAUGGCUUGGAUAAUAAAAAAGUAGUUGUGGUAAACUUCCAGAUGAGUAAUAUUGAUAAAGCUUCAUUACGACUCUUCUCAUCAUGGAUCACAACAUUGUUUGACAGAACUUUCUGGCAUGAUGGAAGUGUUCUAUUUCUGUGUGUGCAAUGUAGCUAUGUGUCCACUGUGGCUCUGAGGACUUGAAAUGUGGCCAGUGCUGAUGAGAAACUGAAUUUUUAUUUUUAUUUAAUUGUAAUUAAUUUAAAUUGAAGUAGCCGCAUGUGGCUAGUGGCUACCAUAAUGGACAAUGCCGCUUCAAAAUAUGAAAUGUAAUCAGUAUGGAUACAUUAAGAACCCAAAAUGUUUUCACCACAUUUCCUUAUUACGCAUAAAUAAAUUUCACUUGCCAAUAUUUUGACAAUUCAAAAUCAAUAUCAGUCUCUGCAUUUAUGCUUGCAUUUUAAAAACUUACUUUAAUACUUUUCUCCUAUCUGAGACAUCUUUGCCAUUCUGAGAAGUAUCUGUUUUUCCUUUCACUCGCAUUUUGCUAUUGUUGCUGUCUUUUGUCUACAUGCUUUUAGCUCUGCCAUUAGGUGUCUUUGUAAUUUCACAUCCAAACCUUGUGAAUUUUUGUUAGUUUCUUUAAAUAAAGCGAUUUGGUUCAAAUACUGACAUGAACAAGGAUAUGACAUGUAUAAUGAUGGAUAAUUAUAUCAAUAAACUGGACAUGGGUAAAAAAAUAAUCAAGAAGAGUUGGCAAAAAAAAAAAUUUAAUGAGAACUUAAGAAUAGAAUUGGCACUUUAGUAU